rnacentral:rRNA from 1 species
AGUAUAAGCAAUCUAUACAGUGAAACUGCGAAUGGCUCAUUAAAUCAGUUAUCGUUUAUUUGAUAGUACCUUACUACAUGGAUAACCGUGGUAAUUCUAGAGCUAAUACAUGCUAAAAACCCCGACUUCGGAAGGGGUGUAUUUAUUAGAUAAAAAACCAACGCCCUUCGGGGCUCCUUGGUGAUUCAUAAUAACUUAACGAAUCGCAUGGCCUUGAGCCGGCGAUGGUUCAUUCAAAUUUCUGCCCUAUCAACUUUCGAUGGUAGGAUAGUGGCCUACCAUGGUAUCAACGGGUAACGGGGAAUUAGGGUUCGAUUCCGGAGAGGGAGCCUGAGAAACGGCUACCACAUCCAAGGAAGGCAGCAGGCGCGCAAAUUACCCAAUCCCGACACGGGGAGGUAGUGACAAUAAAUACUGAUACAGGGCUCUUUUGGGUCUUGUAAUUGGAAUGAGUACAAUUUAAAUCCCUUAACGAGGAACAAUUGGAGGGCAAGUCUGGUGCCAGCAGCCGCGGUAAUUCCAGCUCCAAUAGCGUAUAUUAAAGUUGUUGCAGUUAAAAAGCUCGUAGUUGAACCUUGGGCCUGGCUGGCCGGUCCGCCUCACCGCGUGUACUGGUCCGGCCGGGCCUUUCCUUCUGGGGAUCCGCAUGCCCUUCACUGGGUGUGCCGGGGAACCAGGACUUUUACUUUGAAAAAAUUAGAGUGUUCAAAGCAGGCCUUUGCUCGAAUACAUUAGCAUGGAAUAAUAGAAUAGGACGUGCGGUUCUAUUUUGUUGGUUUCUAGGACCGCCGUAAUGAUUAAUAGGGAUAGUCGGGGGUGUCAGUAUUCAAUUGUCAGAGGUGAAAUUCUUGGAUUUAUUGAAGACUAACUACUGCGAAAGCAUUCACCAAGGAUGUUUUCAUUAAUCAGUGAACGAAAGUUAGGGGAUCGAAGACGAUCAGAUACCGUCGUAGUCUUAACCGUAAACUAUGCCGACUAGGGAUCGGGCGAUGUUAUCAUUUUGACUCGCUCGGCACCUUACGAGAAAUCAAAGUCUUUGGGUCUGGGGG